CCCUUAGAUGUUCUGGGCCGCACGCGCGCUACACUGAUUCAUGCAACAAGUUUUGUCCUUGGCUGAUAGGCCUGGGUAAUCUUUGAACGUGAAUCGUGAUGGGGAUAGAUGAUUGCAAUUAUUCAUCUUCAACGAGGAAUUCCUAGUAAACGCAAGUCAUCAGCUUGCAUUGAUUACGUCCCUGCCCUUUGUACACACCGCCCGUCGCACCUACCGAUUGAAUGGUCCGGUGAAAUCUUCGGAUCUGAGAGAUGUCUGAUAAAUUUCGGACGCCUUUUGGAAAAGUUGUUUAAACCUUACCAUUUAGAGGAAGGUGAAGUCGUAACA
rnacentral:rRNA from 1 species